rnacentral:tRNA from 1 species
GCCCUCGUAGCUCAGCAGGAUAGAGCGUUGGUUUCCUAAACCAAAGGUCGUGGGUUCGAAUCCCGCCGGGGGUAC